UUCAAUUCUGCUAUAUUUUUCAUAUUUUUCUCUUAAUUUUUUUGCUUUUCUUUCUUUGAGUAAGGGAAGAAAAGAAAAAAAAAAGAAAAAAAAAAGAAUCUUUUCGCCUUAAUUUUUGGUUUUUGAUAUUUGAAAAUGAUAUUUUAGAAAUAUUAAAAAAUAAGAAGGUAAAAUAAAAAGAAUUGAAACCUUAUGGGUAGAUUUUAUUAAAGUAUUUCAAAGGGGUAUUGAACCAAAUUCUCUUUGAUAAUGCUAAGGGGAACUUGGUCCAACACCCACAAAAAUAGGUGGGUAAUGAAAUAUGCUUCAUGUAAACUGAAUAGUUUACCUCAUGUACCAGUUCCUUUUUUCACUCCACUUAUAUGUAUUUAUAAAAAACAGGUGAAAAAAAAAUAAUAAUAAUAAUGGCAGAAAAAAGAACUGGAGACUGAAAAUUAUAACAUUUCCAUACCAUAGUAAUAAGCAAUCCAAAAAGCUCGAUCCCGAAAAUUACAACAUUUCCAUACCAUACCAUAGUAAUAAGCAACCCAAAAAGCUCGAUCCCCGUACCUCUGAUUUCCUUUCCCUUCCCGAGAAAGCCAACAAACCAAAUAAAAAAAAAAACUUCCUGCACCUAUACUUUCCUUUGUUCCUUCUUCCCCGAGAAAACCCAUAAUCCCAUUGGAAAAAAUAAAAACGCCCUCCUACUUCACCUCUACUUUCUUUUCCUCCUGCGAAAUCCAUCUUCUUUUUGUUUGUAUUUUUUGCAAUUAUAGGCACCGAGGGCUCCACCAUUCUCUGGUCAUGUUUCAUCUUGCAAGUUGCUAGAGUAGGUGAGAGAUGUCAAUUCAUCUUUGGAGUAGCACUUCCCUUUCUACUGUGAAUCUGUGACCCCAAGUCCUGUAACAAGAAAUGGUUGAAUUUUCUAAUGUGUGAACCCAGCCAACAGAAAUUGGAAUACGAAAAUAAAAUGACAAAAGAUGUUAGUAGGAUGCUUUCCCAGUGGCAUUGACCGAGUGAGGAAGACUUUGUGAGAACUUAGAUCAAAUACAUAGCUGCUUCUUUGAGUUUCUUACUGCAGAAACUAAACACUCUUUCAGCAACCCUAAAUAUAGUUUUUUUCUCCCUUCAACUUUCAAACUUAAACACCAUUUGUGAACAACCAAAUUAUGGAUGCAGGAGUGGUGGGUGGAGCUUUCCUCUCUGCUACCCUUCAAGUGUUGUUUGAUAGGAUGGCUUCACAGGAGUUUGUUGACUUCGUCCGGGGAAAGAGACUUGAUCACAAGCCGCUAGAGAAAUUGACGUGGAAGAUGUCAUCAGCUAAGGCAGUUCUUAAUGAUGCCGAGGAGAAGCAAAUUGGGAAUUCAGAUGUGAGGAAGUAGCUUGAUGACCUCAAUGAAGCAAUCUAUGAAGCACAAGACUUGGUGGAACAGAUCGACGAUGAAAUUUUGCAAUACAAAUUGAAGGAUGAAUCUACUGGAAGCAGCUCAAAAAAGGUGCUGAACAUCAUCACAGCUAAGUUCUCGUCAUUCAACUAGAAAAGGAGAAAAGAAAAUCAUGGGGAUACUUGACAAACUAAAUGAUACUUCAGAACAAAAAGAAUCUCUUGGUUUGAGAGAAGGUGCAGGAUAUAGACAUUCAGGAAGAUUACCUGCAAUUUUUUUGGUAGAAGCAUCUAGUGUUUUCGGCAGGAAUGGCGAAAAAGAAGCAAUUGUUAACUCAUUGCUGAGGAGUGAUGAUAUUGGGAACAACAUAUCUGUCAUUCCGAUAGUAGGCAUGGCUGGGAUUGGUAGGACCACCCUUGCUCAACUGAUUUUCAACGACAAAAUGGUGAAGGAAUGUUUUGAUUUCAGAGAAUGUGUUUCUGUAUCACAUCAAUUUGAUGUUCUCAGAAUGACAAAAGAAAUUUUAUUGACAAUUGCUGGUCUAACAUAUACAAGCAAGGACCUAAAUCUACAUCAAGUUAAACUGGAGGAGGCUCUGGAGGGUAAAAGGUUUCUAAUUGUUCUAGACGAUGUCUAGAACGACAAUGAUUUUCUAUGGGAUGAGUUCGAGAAGCCUUUUAAGUCUGGAGCACAUGGAAGUUCAAUUAUCGUCACAACACGCAGUGAUGAUGUUGCAUCUAUCAUGCGUAAUGUUCCAUCUUAUAGGUUGCAAACAAUGUCUGCCAAGGAUAGUUGGGAAUUAUUUGUAAAGCAUGCCUUCAACAUUGCAAAUCCAUAUGACCAUCCAAAGGUAGGGGAAAUUGGCAGACAAAUUGUCCGAAAGUGCAACGGUCUUCCUUUAGCUGUUAAAUCACUUGGAAUCCUGUUGAGUCAUCAAUCAAAACUGGAAGAAUGGGAGAAUAUACAAACAGCGACAUGUGGGAGUUGAAGAGUAACAAUAUUCUUCCAGCUCUAUGGUUGAGUUAUCAUUACCUACUUUCACAUCUUAAGCGCUGUUUUGCUUAUUGCUCAAUAUUCUCUAUGGAAUAUGAAAUUAAUAAAGAGGUUUAAUCAAGUUAUGGAUGGCAGAAGAUAUUUUGCAAUGCAAAAAUAACAAGAGGAUAGAAGAAGUUGGAGAAGAGAAUGUAAACAACCUUUUAUCAAGAUCCUUAUUUUAGCAGCCAAUGAGUUUGGAUGAUUCAAGUAAUUUUACCAUGCACGAGCUUAUGAAUGAUUUAGCAACAUUUAUAAUAGGAGAAUUUUGUUUGAGGUUAAAUGAUAGGUUCAACGCAAAUAAACUUCCCUGCAAGGUUUAUCAUGUACCACAUGUGAAAGCAUGUGCCUACGACUCGGAGAAGCAUAAUGCUUUGUCAAGAACCUUGCAACUGCGCUCCUAGUCAUCACGGCAUUUUGGCAACAUAAAAUUGUUGAACUUGGUAGUAGCAAACUGGCUGCCAACAUUAACAUGUCAAAGAGUGCUUUCAUUAUCUGGAUAUUCUAUCACAGAGUUGCCUGCCUCCAUUGGGAAGUUAAAGCUUCAAAGAUACUUGGAUUUAUCCGACACUAAAAUAAAAGAGUUGCCUACUGGAAUCUGUACUUUUUACAAUCUGCAUACUUUGUGUUUGAAAGAAUGUGAAGAUGUCAAGUUGUUGCCAACUGACAUUGGAAAGCUCAUCAACUUGCGUCGUCUGUACAUUACGUUCACAGGCAUAGAAGAGAUACCAUCAGAAAUUGGGAACUUAAAAAGGUUUGCAAACAUUAACUAACUUUAUUUUGAGCAUGGGUCUACCAUGAAGUCAUUAGGAGGUCUUCGACAUUUACAUGGAAAUCUUCGCAUUGCAAGACUUAAAAAUGUUGUUGACGUUCAGUAUGUCAUGGUAGGAACUUGAAGGACAAGAAGUACCAUAUUGAAUUACAGUUGCUAUGGAACUAUGAUGAUAAUGCUGAUGAUGAUUGCAACCUCCAAAAGGAUACAGAGAUUCUUAGUGGAUUGCGACCUCAUGCAAAGAUCUAGGCACUACAAAUCACACAUUAUAGAGGUAAGCAUUUUUCAGAAUGGGUGGCAGAUCUUUCAUUCUAUAAUGUAGAGAAGAUACGGCUAUACAGAUGUUAGAAAUGUCACCAGCUUCCUCCAUCUGGGCAACUCCCAUUUCUCAAACAACUUGAAAUUAUGCGAUUUGAUGAACUGGCGAGAGUAGGGAUGGGUUUUAUUAUAGUGAUUGUUCAGUGACUGGUGAGCCAUUUAAAUGCCUAGGAAUGUUAAAGUUUUAGAUAUAUGCUGGAGUGGCAGGAGUGGUCAUUCAUUGGAGGGAACGUUAGAGGAGCUUUUUCUCAACUGAAGGAGCUUGUUUUGGUAGAUUCUCCAAAAUUAACUGGACGCAUAAGCCUACCCAGUACCACGGAAGCUGUCCACAUCAGCAGAUGUGACAAGUUGGAGUACUUUGGAAAUGUAUGAGAGCUGAUAUAUAAAUGUAUGUGUCUAUACAUAUAUGUUGUGUAUGUAUAUAUACAGAUAUAUAUGGUAGCGGCAAUAAGCUGUUUGCAAUACAUACUGUACGUAUGAAGUUGCUGCUAAUCUCUCCUUCAUUUUCACUUGGAAUCUCGUUAACAUCUUCAUUAUAGUCAAUUUAUUACUGCAUCCUGUGAACUCUACUCAAAUAUUGUAGCAUUAGCAUGGAAUUGUUGGAAAAUAGAGAUUUGGUUGUACUACAUAGAAUAUUAUAAUAUUUGGUUGUAAUAUAUAGAACAUUAUUUAUGA